rnacentral:misc_RNA from 1 species
GAUGAAUAACGUAGCGAAAUGCGAUAAGUAAUGUGAAUUGCAGAAUUCAGUGAAUCAUCGAAUCUUUGAACGCACAUUGCGCCCAUUAGUAUUCUAGUGGGCAUGCCUGUUCGAGCGUCAUUUCAACCCUUAAGCCUAGCUUAGUAUUGGGAAUCGACUUUACUGUCGUUCCUCAAAUUCAACGGCGGAUUUAUAGCAAUCUCUGAACGUAGUAAUUUUUUUCCUCGUUUUUGAAAUACUAUAAACCUCAGCCGCUAAACCCCCAAUUUUUCUAUGGUUGACCUCGGAUCAGGUAGGAAUACCCGCUGAACUUAAGCAUAUCAAUAAGCGGAGGA